UCAAGCUAUAAAGAGCACAAGGGGAAUGCCUUGGCACUAGGAGCCGAAGAAGGACGUGACUAACUGCGAUAAGCUACGGGGAGUUGUAAGUAAACAUUGAUCCGUAGAUAUCCGAAUGGAGCAAUCCGGCUGUGGUCAUGCACAGUCAUCAUAUACUGAAUACAUAGGUAUAUGAGGGGAACCGCCUGAACUGAAACAUCUAAGUAGGGCGAGGAAGAGAAAUCAACCGAGAUUCCGCUAGUAGUGGCGAGCGAACGCGGAAGAGGCCAAACCAGAGGUAGAAAUACCUUUGGGGUUCGGACAACAUACGAUAUUGACAAUUUCUAGCUGAAUAGUGUGGGAAAGCUAACCGAAGAAGGUGAGAGUCCUGUAAGCGAAAGGAAGAGUCAGUCAGUUGUAUCCAGAGUACCGCCGGACACGUGAAACCCGGUGGGAAUACGGGGGGACCAUCCUCCAAGCCUAAAUACUACCUAGUGACCGAUAGAGAAGAAGUACUGUGAAGGAAAGGUGAAAAGCACCCCGGGAGGGGAGUGAAAGAGAACCUGAAACCUUGUGUUUACAAGCACCGAAAGUCCAUCAAAGGACGAUCGGGUACCUUUUGUAGAAUGGUCCGGCGAGUGUAUGUAUCUAGCAAGGUUAAGCACUUAAGGUGUGAAGCCAAAGCGAAAGCAAGUCUGAAUAGGGCGACAAGUUAGAUGUAUACGACCCGAAACCGGGUGACCUACCCAUGGCCAGGCUGAAGUGAAGGUAAAACUUCAUGGAGGGCCGAACCGACUCCCGUUGAAAUGGUAGCGGAUGAGUUGUGGGUAGCGGAGAAAUUCCAAUCGAACCCGGAGAUAGCUGGUUCUCUCCGAAAUAGCUUUAGGGCUAGCCUUGAAAUAGAUUACUGGAGGUAAAGCACUGAAUUGGCUAGGGGCCGAAAGGUUACUGAACCUUAUCAAACUCAGAAUGCCAGAUAAUCGUUUUUCAGGAGUCAGACGGUGGGAGAUAAGUUUCAUCGUCAAAAGGGAAACAGCCCAGACCCACAGCUAAGGUCCCAAAUUAUAGUUAAGUGGAGAAGGAUGUGGGAUUGCAUAGACAACCAGGAUGUUGGCUUAGAAGCAGCCACUCAUUAAAAGAGUGCGUAAUAGCUCACUGGUCGAGUGAUCCCGCGCCGAAAAUUUAACGGGGCUAAACUAUAAACCGAAGCUUGGGAUACCGCAAGGUAUGGUAGGAGAGCGUCAUGUAAGGGGUGAAGUCAUAGCGAAAGCGGUGGUGGACUUUACAUGAGUGAGAAUGCCGGAAUGAGUAGCGAGAAUUAAGUGAGAAUCUUAAUGGCCGAAAGUCUAAGGUUUUUGGAGGAAGGUUCGUCCGCUCCAAGUAAGUCGGGAGCUAAGGCGAGGCCGAAAGGCGUAGUCGAUGCACAUACGGUUGAUAUUCCGUAACCACUGACAACUUAAACAAAAUGACACUUUAGAAGGGCUUGACCCGGGUGCUGGUAAUCCCGGGCGUAAGGGACCGAAAUUUAGUAGGGAAGCAAGCUUGGAUGGAGGCGAGAAAAGUUUUGUGUAUGUAAUGUUGGUGCCCGUACCGCAAACCGACACAGGUGGACAGGAAGAGAAUUCUAAGGCCAGCGGGAGAAGGGUAGUUAAGGAACUCGGCAAAUUGACUCCGUAACUUCGGAAUAAGGAGUGCUCGAAAGAGCCGCAGAGAAUAGGCCCAGGCGACUGUUUAGCAAAAACACAGGUCUCUGCCAAAUCGAAAGAUGAAGUAUAGGGGCUGACACCUGCCCGGUGCUGGAAGGUUAAGAGGAGGAGUGAGAGCUCCGAAUUGAAGCCCCAGUAAACGGCGGCCGUAACUAUAACGGUCCUAAGGUAGCGAAAUUCCUUGUCGGGUAAGUUCCG
rnacentral:rRNA from 1 species